rnacentral:rRNA from 1 species
GAAAUCCCGUCGGAAUCUGGGAGGACCAUCUCCCAACCCUAAAUACUCCCUAGUGACCGAUAGUGAACCAGUACCGUGAGGGAAAGGUGAAAAGCACCCCGGGAGGGGAGUGAAAUAGAACCUAAAACCGUGUGCCUACAACAAGUUCGAGCCCGUUAAUGGGUGAGAGCGUGCCUUUUGUAGAAUGAACCGGCGAGUUACGUUAUGAUGCGAGGUUAAGUUGAAGAGACGGAGCCGUAGGGAAACCGAGUCUGAAUAGGGCGCCUUAGUAUCAUGACGUAGACCCGAAACCAUGUGACCUACCCAUGAGCAGGUUGAAGGUGCGGUAAGACGCACUGGAGGACCGAACCAGGGCACGUUGAAAAGUGCUUGGAUGACUUGUGGGUAGCGGAGAAAUUCCAAACGAACUUGGAGAUAGCUGGUUCUCUCCGAAAUAGCUUUAGGGCUAGCGUCGACAUUAGAGAUUCUUGGAGGUAGAGCACUGUUUGGGUGAGGGGUCCAUCCCGGAUUACCAAUCUCAGAUAAACUCCGAAUGCCAAUGAAUUAUGGUCGGCAGUCAGACUGCGAGUGCUAAGAUCCGUAGUCGAAAGGGAAACAGCCCAGACCACCAGCUAAGGUCCCAAAAUAAUUGUUAAGUGGAAAAGGAUGUGGGGUUGCACAGACAACUAGGAUGUUAGCUUAGAAGCAGCUAUUCAUUCAAAGAGUGCGUAAUAGCUCACUAGUCGAGUGACCCUGCGCCGAAAAUGUACCGGGGCUAAAACAAUUUACCGAAGCUGUGGAUACCUUUAUAGGUAUGGUAGGAGAGCGUUCUAUGUGUGAUGAAGGUAUACCGUGAGGAGUGCUGGAACGCAUAGAAGUGAGAAUGCCGGUAUGAGUAGCGAAAGACAGGUGAGAAUCCUGUCCACCGUAAGACUAAGGUUUCCAGGGGAAGGCUCGUCCGCCCUGGGUUAGUCGGGACCUAAGGAGAGACCGAAAGGUGUAUCCGAUGGACAACAGGUUGAUAUUCCUGUACUAGAGUAUGUAGUGAUGGAGGGACGCAGUAGGCUAACUAAAGCAGACGAUUGGAAGAGUCUGUCUAAGCAGUGAGGUGUGAAUUGAGUCAAAUGCUUAAUUCUAUAACAUUGAGCUGUGAUGGGGAGCGAAGUUUAGUAGCGAAGUUAGUGACGUCACACUGCCAAGAAAAGCUUCUAGCGUUUAAACAUACUCUACCCGUACCGCAAACCGACACAGGUAGUCGAGGCGAGUAGCCUCAGGUGAGCGAGAGAACUCUCGUUAAGGAACUCGGCAAAAUGACCCCGUAACUUCGGGAGAAGGGGUGCUGACUUUAAGUCAGCCGCAGUGAAUAGGCCCAAGCAACUGUUUAUCAAAAACACAGCUCUCUGCUAAAUCGUAAGAUGAUGUAUAGGGGGUGACGCCUGCCCGGUGCUGGAAGGUUAAGAGGAGUGCUUAGCGUAAGCGAAGGUAUGAAUUGAAGCCCCAGUAAACGGCGGCCGUAACUAUAACGGUCCUAAGGUAGCGAAAUUCCUUGUCGGGUAAGUUCCGACCCGCACGAAAGGCGUAAUGAUUUGGGCACUGUCUCAACGAGAGACUCGGUGAAAUUUUAGUACCUGUGAAGAUGCAGGUUACCCGCGACAGGACGGAAAGACCCCAUGGAGCUUUACUGCAGUUUGAUAUUGAGUGUCUGUACCACAUGUACAGGAUAGGUAGGAGUCUAAGAGAUCGGGACGCCAGUUUCGAAGGAGACGCUGUUGGGAUACUACCCUUGUGUUAUGGCCACUCUAACCCAGAUAGGUGAUCCCUAUCGGAGACAGUGUCUGACGGGCAGUUUGACUGGGGCGGUCGCCUCCUAAAAGGUAACGGAGGCGCCCAAAGG